rfam:Salmo salar isolate Sally breed double haploid chromosome ssa16, whole genome shotgun sequence.
UGUAUUCACUACUGUAAGUUGCUCUGGAUAAGAGUGUCUGCUAAAUGACUAAAU